rnacentral:rRNA from 1 species
GGCGGCUAUACAUGCAAGUAGAACGCGUGAAGAGAGGAGCUUGCUCUUCUUGGAUGAGUUGCGAACGGGUGAGUAACGCGUAGGUAACCUGCCUUGUAGCGGGGGAUAACUAUUGGAAACGAUAGCUAAUACCGCAUAACAAUGGAUGACACAUGUCAUUUAUUUGAAAGGGGCAAUUGCUCCACUACAAGAUGGACCUGCGUUGUAUUAGCUAGUAGGUGAGGUAAUGGCUCACCUAGGCGACGAUACAUAGCCGACCUGAGAGGGUGAUCGGCCACACUGGGACUGAGACACGGCCCAGACUCCUACGGGAGGCAGCAGUAGGGAAUCUUCGGCAAUGGGGGCAACCCUGACCGAGCAACGCCGCGUGAGUGAAGAAGGUUUUCGGAUCGUAAAGCUCUGUUGUAAGUCAAGAACGGGUGUGAGAGUGGAAAGUUCACACUGUGACGGUAGCUUACCAGAAAGGGACGGCUAACUACGUGCCAGCAGCCGCGGUAAUACGUAGGUCCCGAGCGUUGUCCGGAUUUAUUGGGCGUAAAGCGAGCGCAGGCGGUUUGAUAAGUCUGAAGUUAAAGGCUGUGGCUCAACCAUAGUUCGCUUUGGAAACUGUCAAACUUGAGUGCAGAAGGGGAGAGUGGAAUUCCAUGUGUAGCGGUGAAAUGCGUAGAUAUAUGGAGGAACACCGGUGGCGAAAGCGGCUCUCUGGUCUGUAACUGACGCUGAGGCUCGAAAGCGUGGGGAGCGAACAGGAUUAGAUACCCUGGUAGUCCACGCCGUAAACGAUGAGUGCUAGGUGUUGGAUCCUUUCCGGGAUUCAGUGCCGCAGCUAACGCAUUAAGCACUCCGCCUGGGGAGUACGACCGCAAGGUUGAAACUCAAAGGAAUUGACGGGGGCCCGCACAAGCGGUGGAGCAUGUGGUUUAAUUCGAAGCAACGCGAAGAACCUUACCAGGUCUUGACAUCCCGAUGCUAUUUCUAGAGAUAGAAAGUUACUUCGGUACAUCGGUGACAGGUGGUGCAUGGUUGUCGUCAGCUCGUGUCGUGAGAUGUUGGGUUAAGUCCCGCAACGAGCGCAACCCCUAUUGUUAGUUGCCAUCAUUCAGUUGGGCACUCUAGCGAGACUGCCGGUAAUAAACCGGAGGAAGGUGGGGAUGACGUCAAAUCAUCAUGCCCCUUAUGACCUGGGCUACACACGUGCUACAAUGGUUGGUACAACGAGUUGCGAGUCGGUGACGGCGAGCUAAUCUCUUAAAGCCAAUCUCAGUUCGGAUUGUAGGCUGCAACUCGCCUACAUGAAGUCGGAAUCGCUAGUAAUCGCGGAUCAGCACGCCGCGGUGAAUACGUUCCCGGGCCUUGUACACACCGCCCGUCACACCACGAGAGUUUGUAACACCCGAAGUCGGUGAGGUAACCUUUGGAGCCAGCCGCCUAAGUGACAGAGA